GGAGGAAAAGAAACCAACUGGGAUUACCUUAGUAACGGCGAGUGAAGCGGUAAAAGCUCAAAUUUGAAAUCUGGUACUUUCAGUGCCCGAGUUGUAAUUUGUAGAAUUUGUCUUUGAUUAGGUCCUUGUCUAUGUUCCUUGGAACAGGACGUCAUAGAGGGUGAGAAUCCCGUUUGGCGAGGAUACCUUUUCUCUGUAAGACUUUUUCGAAGAGUCGAGUUGUUUGGGAAUGCAGCUCAAAGUGGGUGGUAAAUUCCAUCUAAAGCUAAAUAUUGGCGAGAGACCGAUAGCGAACAAGUACAGUGAUGGAAAGAUGAAAAGAACUUUGAAAAGAGAGUGAAAAAGUACGUGAAAUUGUUGAAAGGGAAGGGCAUUUGAUCAGACAUGGUGUUUUUUGCAUGCACUCGCCUCUCGUGGGCUUGGGCCUCUCAAAAAUUUCACUGGGCCAACAUCAAUUCUGGCAGCAGGAUAAAUCAUUAAGAAUGUAGCUACUUCGGUAGUGUUAUAGCUUUUUGGAAUACUGUUAGCCGGGAUUGAGGACUGCGCUUCGGCAAGGAUGUUGGCAUAAUGGUUAAAUGCCGCCCGUCUU
rnacentral:rRNA from 1 species